rnacentral:rRNA from 1 species
GAUGAACGCUGGCGGCGUGCCUAAUACAUGCAAGUCGAGCGAACGGACGAGAAGCUUGCUUCUCUGAUGUUAGCGGCGGACGGGUGAGUAACACGUGGAUAACCUACCUAUAAGACUGGGAUAACUUCGGGAAACCGUAGCUAAUACCGGAUAAUAUUUUGAACCGCAUGGUUCAAAAGUGAAAGACGGUCUUGCUGUCACUUAUAGAUGGAUCCGCGCUGCAUUAGCUAGUUGGUAAGGUAACGGCUUACCAAGGCAACGAUGCAUAGCCGACCUGAGAGGGUGAUCGGCCACACUGGAACUGAGACACGGUCCAGACUCCUACGGGAGGCAGCAGUAGGGAAUCUUCCGCAAUGGGCGAAAGCCUGACGGAGCAACGCCGCGUGAGUGAUGAAGGUCUUCGGAUCGUAAAACUCUGUUAUUAGGGACGAACAUAUGUGUAAGUAACUGUGCACAUCUUGACGGUACCUAAUCAGAAAGCCACGGCUAACUACGUG